rnacentral:lncRNA from 1 species
CUUUCUUUCCUCCCACAAUGUAUAAAACCUGGUAACAAGGUUGUGGCAAAUACCUUUGGCUGGCAAUAUCUUGGCAAGAAGUUGAGACGAUUAUUUGGAAAGACAAAAGGAAUAUUAAAGAUGGAAGACGACCUUCUCUCCGUAGACCAAACUAGCAAAUCCACCGGGGGCAACUCUCUCUCCCUCCCUCCCUUUGCCUUGGCUGUCAAGAUUAUGAUGAGGAAAUAAGAGUCCUGAAGGUCCAGUGGAUGGCCUAGAAUGCAGUGGAUGGCCUUGAUGUCUUAUAUGAUCAAGUUCCGAGUUCUCCACAGCGCCUUCUUCAGCGGUCUUCAUGGCCAUUGGGAUGACUCUCACCUCCCCCUUCCAUUAGGGAAGUCUUCACGUGUUUGGGAGUACACUCCCCCCCAACAUGGUGAUGGGUCUGAUGCCUUCAAUUACUCUCACCUGGUUCCGCCCAUUUGCAGAGACAAUUUUACUGGGGUGUAGCUGCUGUUCACGCAACAACUCCUUGGAGCUACAGAUGGCGAGUAAUCCAAUAUAUAUUAAACACGCAGUUCUUCUCUCCAUGUUUCCACAACUAUCUGGCUGCACAAGAAAAAUCAGAUCAAAAAGGAAAAUAAUGAGAAAGAAAGUAAAAUGCAAGCGAACAACAAGAAAAAGAGUGAGAAUGUUAUGUUGUGAUCCACACUCAGUUCCCAUAAUCCUCUCUCUGGAUGCUGAUGGCUCUCUCCAACACAAGGUCAUUGGAACUGCAUUGAAUCACCUCCCUGUUUGAAAAGAGCCACGUCCAUCAGAAUUGAUCAUUGUAUAAUCUUGUGGCCGUGUACAAUGAUCUCCCGGUUCUGCUCAUUUCACCCGGCAUCAGUUCAU